rnacentral:lncRNA from 1 species
CGCGUUACUUGUAAUGCGUUACCCCCAACACUGUUGUUUUUACCCAGCCCCAACAGCAACUGGACUCUCCAAUAUGCUGUCAGUUCUGUGGUUCGAGAGCUUGGCCGCCUCUGGAUCCGGUUUAUGCAGAGACACGAGAGGUUCGUCUCUUGAGAAAGAAUGUAGCUGACACUAACACUUACUGCUUCAGCACUUUUUUUCCCCUUGAGUUUAUGAUCGUCUAAUUGGACUUCAGGACUUCUGCUGUGAGAAAUACAGAGAGUUGUUUGAGAUUGUGGUCCAUGAAAAGCAUCUAGCUAUGGAACGUUCUGAUGCAAGGCCUAGUGGACCUGCUCGACUAGAUGACCCCUUCAUCACUGAGGACGAAGAACUACAAGAUAAAGCACAAGAAAGAGGAAAACGCAGUUUCAGACAGCAGCAGAGAGAGAUGCAGAGAUAUGACAGAGAUGCUCACUCCAGUUUAUUGGCAUCAAACAACAGUGAGUAUCCACAUGUGUUGGACAGGAUGCCCAUGGAUGGACCAUUAACAAAAAAUGCUACAUUUUGUCAUUAUUUACUACCUGUUAUACAAUAAAAC